UACGUAGGUGGCGAGCGUUGUCCGGAAUAACUGGGCGUAAAGGGAGCGUAGGUUGCGAUUUAAGUUAGAUGUGAAAGCCCAGGGCUCAACCCUGGAAUUGCAUUUAAAACUGGAUUGCUAGAGUACAGGAGGGGUAAGCGGAAUUUCUAGUGUAGCGGUGAAAUGCGUAGAUAUUAGGAAGAACACCAGAGGCGAAGGCGGCUUACUGGACUGCAACUGACACUGAGGCUCGAAAGCGUGGGGAGCAA
rnacentral:rRNA from 1 species